rnacentral:rRNA from 1 species
GAUGAACGCUGGCGGCGUGCCUAAUACAUGCAAGUCGAGCGAACGGACAAGAAGCUUGCUUCUCUGAUGUUAGCGGCGGACGGGUGAGUAACACGUGGAUAACCUACCUAUAAGACUGGGAUAACUUCGGGAAACCGGAGCUAAUACCGGAUGAUAUUUUGAACCGCAUGGUUCAAAAGUGAAAGACGGUCUUGCUGUCACUUAUAGAUGGAUCCGCGCUGCAUUAGCUAGUUGGUAAGGUAACGGCUUACCAAGGCAACGAUGCAUAGCCGACCUGAGAGGGUGAUCGGCCACACUGGAACUGAGACACGGUCCAGACUCCUACGGGAGGCAGCAGUAGGGAAUCUUCCGCAAUGGGCGAAAGCCUGACGGAGCAACGCCGCGUGAGUGAUGAAGGUCUUCGGAUCGUAAAACUCUGUUAUUAGGGAAGAACAUAUGUGUAAGUAACUGUGCACGUCUUGACGGUACCUAAUCAGAAAGCCACGGCUAACUACGUG